rfam:Desulfobacca acetoxidans DSM 11109, complete genome.
AAGGGAACUGGGUGUGAAUCCCAGGCGGGCGCGCCGCUGUGAACGGGGACGAAGGCCGCAGGUGAGCCACUGUGGGGUAGUGCAGCUCCCAUGGGAAGGCGCGGUUGGUAGGUCGAUCCGUGAGCCAGAAGACCU